GAUGAACGCUGGCGGCGUGCCUAAUACAUGCAAGUCGAGCGAACGGACGAGAAGCUUGCUUCUCUGAUGUUAGCGGCGGACGGGUGAGUAACACGUGGAUAACCUACCUAUAAGACUGGGAUAACUUCGGGAAACCGGAGCUAAUACCGGAUGAUAUUUUGAACCGCAUGGUUCAAAAGUGAAAGACGGUCUUGCUGUCACUUAUAGAUGGAUCCGCGCUGCAUUAGCUAGUUGGUAAGGUAACGGCUUACCAAGGCAACGAUGCAUAGCCGACCUGAGAGGUGGAUGGACAACACGGAACUGGAACCCCGUCCCAGCCUCCUACGGGAGGCAGCGGUAGGGAACUUUCCGAAAGGGGCGAAAGCCUGACGGAGCACCGCCGCGUGAUUAAUGAGGUUUUUGGGAUCUAAAAACUUUUUUAUGGGGGAAAAACAUAUGUGAAAUUACCUGUCCACUUCUUGACGGUCCCUAAUAAGAAAGCCCCGGCUAACUCCGUG
rnacentral:rRNA from 1 species